rnacentral:ncRNA from 1 species
GGCCACCUUCGGGGGGCUUACAUAGCGGACCGUGACCAUUCGGGUUGGGUUCGCACAGCUAAACGGAAGACAGAAA